UGCGUAGGCGGUGAUGUGAGUGUGAUGUGAAAGCCCUGGGCUUAACCUAGGAAGUGCAUUGCAAACGACAUGACUGGAGUAUAAGAGAGGGUGGCGGAAUUUCCGGUGUAGCGGUGAAAUGCGUAGAGAUCGGAAGGAACGUCAAUGGCGAAGGCAGCCACCUGGCUUAAUACUGACGCUGAGGCACGAAAGCGUGGGGAUCGAACAGGAUUAGAUACCCUGGUAGUCCACGCUGUAAACGAUGAAGACUGGAUGUUGAUAGGGGAACCUAGCAGUAUCGAAGCUAACGCGAUAAGUCUUCCGCCUGGGAAGUACGGCCGCAAGGUUGAA
rnacentral:rRNA from 1 species